AUUAUCAUGCAAGUCGAGCGAAUGGAUUGAGAGCUUGCUCUUCAUGAAGUUAGCGGCGGAUGGGUGAGUAACACGUGGGUAACCUGCCCAUAAGACUGGGAUAACUCCGGGAAACCGGGGCUAAUACCGGAUAACAUUUUGAACUGCAUGGUUCGAAAUUGAAAGGCGGCUUCGGCUGUCACUUAUGGAUGGACCCGCGUCGCAUUAGCUAGUUGGUGAGGUAACGGCUCACCAAGGCAACGAUGCGUAGCCGACCUGAGAGGGUGAUCGGCCACACUGGGACUGAGACACGGCCCAGACUCCUACGGGAGGCAGCAGUAGGGAAUCUUCCGCAAUGGACGAAAGUCUGACGGAGCAACGCCGCGUGAGUGAUGAAGGCUUUCGGGUCGUAAAACUCUGUUGUUAGGGAAGAACAAGUGCUAGUUGAAUAAGCUGGCACCUUGACGGUACCUAACCAGAAAGCCACGGCUAACUACGUGCCAGCAGCCGCGGUAAUACGUAGGUGGCAAGCGUUAUCCGGAAUUAUUGGGCGUAAAGCGCGCGCAGGUGGUUUCUUAAGUCUGAUGUGAAAGCCCACGGCUCAACCGUGGAGGGUCAUUGGAAACUGGGAGACUUGAGUGCAGAAGAGGAAAGUGGAAUUCCAUGUGUAGCGGUGAAAUGCGUAGAGAUAUGGAGGAACACCAGUGGCGAAGGCGACUUUCUGGUCUGUAACUGACACUGAGGCGCGAAAGCGUGGGGGAGCAAACAGGAUUAGAUACCCUGGUAGUCCACGCCGUAAACGAUGAGUGCUAAGUGUUAGAGGGUUUCCGCCCUUUAGUGCUGAAGUUAACGCAUUAAGCACUUCCGCCUGGGGAGUACGGCCGCAAGGCUGAAACUCAAAGGAAUUGACGGGGGCCCGCCACAAGCGGGUGGAGCAUGUGGUUUAAUUCGAAGCAACGCGAAGAACCUUACCAGGUCUUGACAUCCUCUGAAAACCCUAGAGAUAGGGCUUCUCCUUCGGGAGCAGAGUGACAGGUGGUGCAUGGUUGUCGUCAGCUCGUGUCGUGAGAUGUUGGGUUAAGUCCCGCAACGAGCGCAACCCUUGAUCUUAGUUGCCAUCAUUAAGUUGGGCACUCUAAGGUGACUGCCGGUGACAAACCGGAGGAAGGUGGGGAUGACGUCAAAUCAUCAUGCCCCUUAUGACCUGGGCUACACACGUGCUACAAUGGACGGUACAAAGAGCUGCAAGACCGCGAGGUGGAGCUAAUCUCAUAAAACCGUUCUCAGUUCGGAUUGUAGGCUGCAACUCGCCUACAUGAAGCUGGAAUCGCUAGUAAUCGCGGAUCAGCAUGCCGCGGUGAAUACGUUCCCGGGCCUUGUACACACCGCCCGUCACACCACGAGAGUUUGUAACACCCGAAGUCGGUGGGGUAACCUUUUUGGAGCCAGCCG
rnacentral:rRNA from 1 species